rnacentral:rRNA from 1 species
CACGUAGGGUCCGAGCGUUUGUCCGGAAUUACUGGGCGUAAAGCGUGCGCAGGCGGUUGGGUCAGUCGCUGGUGAAAGCCCCACGCUCAACGUGGGAAUGGCCAACGAGACGGCCCGACUGGAGGCAGGGAGAGGCCGGUGGAAUUCCGGGUGUAGUGGUGAAAUGCGCAGAUAUCAGGAGGAACACCGGUGGCGAAGGCGGAUCUCUGGGCCAUUACUGACGUGAGGAGCGAAAGCGUGGGGAGCGAACAGG